rnacentral:rRNA from 1 species
UACAGAGGUCUCAAGCGUUGUUCGGAUUCAUUGGGCGUAAAGGGUGCGUAGGCGGCGCGGUAAGUCGGGUGUGAAAUCUCGGAGCUUAACUCCGAAACUGCAUUCGAUACUGCCGUGCUUGAGGACUGGAGAGGAGACUGGAAUUUACGGUGUAGCGGUGAAAUGCGUAGAUAUCGUCAAGAACACCGAUAGCGAAGGCAGCUUACUAGACUGUAACUGACGCUGAGGCACGAAAGUGUGGGGAUCAAACAGG